CGUUCAACCACCACAAAUAUACACACACAUAUUUAGACAGUGAAUCUAUUUUAAAAUGUUAAUAAUAAUCAUGUAAACACGCAAUCAAAUCAUUAGUUAAUUAAAAUUCACAAGGACAAACAAUUAGGACCAUUGAAUAAUUAAUUAGCUGAUGGUUGGUGUUUAUUUCUCUCUUUUUUUCUUCUUCUCCUUGCCUGGUGAUAAUAUUAGAAUAUCUAAUCCAAGUUCUUGAUUUGACUGAUGGGCUGUUGAUUUAUUACUUUUCGUCAUCAUCUUAAUUACCUUUUUUCUCUUCAUCUAAUAUUUUUUUUUCUUUUUACACCGAAUCUAUUCCCUGAUAUUCAUCACCGAAACAACGAUGUUGAUAGAAGAUGAAGAUUAAAUUCUUCUCAAAAGUCAACAGAGAGUGUGGAGUUUUUUUUCUCUCUCUCUCCUAUUUGAUAUUCCAAUGUAAUUCAAUAUCUAACCUCUACCCAGAGGCUUUAACAGCAUCAAUAAUCAAGUUGACAAUCAACUGGCCACCAGAACCGAAAGAGGGAAAACAUGGAGAGAGAGAGAGAUAUAUGCAAACAAUCAAGUUAAUAAUAAAUCAGUGUCAAUAUCCAACGAAUACAAAAUGACACUAGUAAACCGGUUACACCAUUUUGGAGGUAAAAUUUUGCAGAUUAUCUGGUAAUCCAUGUUCCCUUGUCAACCUUCAGUAAUCAUCUUUCCCCGGAUUCGCAAUUUUAACGGAUUAAAGUGAAAGUUAAUAAACCACCGUAGAGUAAAUCAAAUUUACUAUUGAAAAGCGUAACGGAUGUUACGAUGAUAUUACUAUUUGGAAUCUAUUUGGAAGAUGAAGAUGCUGAUAAAAUUAUCUAAAAGAUGAUAGAAGAAGAAGAAGAUUGAAAGCAAAGGAAAAGAGAAAAGUUGUUCUAAAGUGAAAAGGGAUAAAGUCAAUUGGAAUAUCAAUCACAAAAAUGACCAGUUGAUUGAAGAAGAGAAUCAAUUUGGUGAUGGACAAGAAUGAAAUUUCUGUUGACAUUGGAAGAAAAGGAAAAUAAUUUAAUUCAAUAAUCAAAUCCCUGUGAACCAGUUUGAUGAUAAAACUUAAAGUAAAACAAGGAGAAACCAAUUGAUUGAAAACGAAAACAAAAAAAGCUAAUCAUUGAUAAUUGGAUAUUAUUAUUGAUAAGGAAACAACAAAAAAAUCAACUUGCAAGUAACAAUUUAACAAGAAUCAAGGGAAAAUCAUCAUUGGAAAGGAAUCAACAACUAUCAAUGUAAUACAAUUAAUUCAAUGGAAUCAUCCAAUUCUCAAUUCUCAAUUUUCUUAUUCUGCUGAUUAAUAUUAACUUAAUUAAUUGUUUCCAGUCAUUGAGGGUGAUAAAGAUACAACAAUGCUAAUGCUACAUGAAGGAUAAUAUCAACAACAAUGAUACUCUCACACUCAGGAAGAUAAUAACAAUAAUACCCUGGACCCAACCCAUGGAUUUGAUUAUUAUUAUCAUGAUGAUAAUGAUAAUGAUUGGUGGUGAUGAUGAUGAUUAUCAAAGGUCUUACCUUUGGGCCUGAAUAUAAGGAUAAAGUUAAGAUGAUUAACAAUCCAAGUUACAAUUAUAUUAAAUGGAAGACACUUGAACUCAUCCUAAGAUUAAGCUUAAUCAGCGGAAACACAAAACUAAAGUUAAACAUAAUCAUCAUCUAAAUAAAAGGAUAGAGAGACAACAAUUAACCAUAUCAUUGAUGCCAAUCUCAACAAUUCAACAUCUCUAAUUCAAUCAAGUUGAAAUCAAUAAGAUAAACAAUGGAUUCACAAUCAUGAUAAAUAAUCAUCAUCUUUAAUCAAGUUAAUCACCUUUAACCAUGAUCACUACUACAACUACAAUUAACCCCAUGGUUUAAUAAACCUCACCCAAGAACAAGUAAUAAUUAAAUUUCACCAACUGAUCAAGAAAUUUGAUUAAUCGGAUUAAUGAUUAACAUAUAAUCGUAACCAUGAAAAAAAGUAAUCUCAAUCCAAAUAAUACAUAAACAGGUAUUUCUUAAUCAAUAGUUAACUUAAUCAUCUAAACAAAUUCAUCAGAUAACAAACUAUACAAUUAAUUUUCCUCUUUUUUUACCCCAAUUUUAACCAACAAUUAAAAUCAAUUAAUCAUUAGUUAAUCAUUGACAUUGUCCACUAAAUAACAAUCCAAGUCCAAUAACAUAUUAAAUGAUCAUGAAAACGUAA